GACAGCUCCAGGUUGUAAUUGUUCUGCCUAAGGAUUUCCUUGUUCAGAUCAAUCUGCCUAAAGCCCAUUUCCUCCAGCUCCCUCAGCAGCUUCUCUUCAUUGUGACCAUCUAUGUCAAAAGGCUCAGGUGCUGCGGCGCUGGCUGCAGGUGGAGGCACAGGCACAGAAGCAGGGGCAGGGGCAGAUGCAGGUGCGGAUGCAGGGGCAGGCAUAGAAACAGGCACAGUUGUAGGCAGGAUAGGCACAUUAACAGGUGAAGGUCCAACCGGGGCAAGCAGCUCAGGUGCAGGUGCAGGCACACUAACAGAAGGCACAAAAGCAGCAGCAGUGGCACUGGACAUGGGAACAUCAACGACAAGGUUUGCAGGAGCUGCUGCAGGCAUAGAGGUAGCAACUACUAGAGCAGGCUGAGAUUUCUUGGGCUCUGGAACAUCACUCGGAUAGAAGUGGAACUCUUUAGUGCGUUUGGCAUGUGCACUAAGGGCUGGGUCAACAGGCUCAAUGUUCACAUCAAUUAGGCUAGUUGUGUUUGCACUACUGCCUUCUGGUGGCAGAUUCAGAUUAAUAGCAGUGUUCCUGUUAUUGUCAUUAACAAAGGAAGGAUCUUCCACCUACAG
rnacentral:lncRNA from 1 species